AUUGAACGCUGGCGGCAUGCUUUACACAUGCAAGUCGAACGGUAACAGGGUGCUUGCACCGCUGACGAGUGGCGAACGGGUGAGUAAUGCGUCGGAACGUGCCGAGUAGUGGGGGAUAACGCAGCGAAAGUUGUGCUAAUACCGCAUACGUACUGAGGUAGAAAGUGGGGGACCUUCGGGCCUCACGCUAUUCGAGCGGCCGACGUCUGAUUAGCUAGUAGGUGAGGUAAAGGCUCACCUAGGCGACGAUCAGUAGCGGGUCUGAGAGGAUGAUCCGCCACACUGGGACUGAGACACGGCCCAGACUCCUACGGGAGGCAGCAGUGGGGAAUUUUGGACAAUGGGCGAAAGCCUGAUCCAGCCAUGCCGCGUGUCUGAAGAAGGCCUUCGGGUUGUAAGGACUUUUGUCAGGGAGGAAAUCCCUAGUGCUAAUACCGCUGGGGGAUGACAGUACCUGAAGAAUAAGCACCGGCUAACUACGUGCCAGCCGCCGCGGUAACAC
rnacentral:rRNA from 1 species